UGCCACUUACCCUGAAGAAAAUGACCCAUUAGGUAGAAGUAAUGCUCCAUGUUUUCACAAAGUAGAAGAUAAUUAUGGGAUAUGAAGACCAGUUAGAAACCAGAAUAAUUAUUUCUGUUAUACAUUUAUUAUCUCUGAUGGAGCUUCAAGUCAAACAGGAAUACAUGUGCUACACAGAAAGAAAACAGACUUAGAAAAUCAGAUAGCGGAUGGUAAUGGAUUUCAGAACAACCUGGAGUUUUGAAAUUGACUGCAAUAAAAAUUAAC